UAAAGGAUUCGAGGGAGGAUCAUCCAGGUCAAAGGAUUUGUUCUCCAAGCAAGUUGGAAGCUAAUGCAAUCCAUCUACGGGAUUUGUGGCAUUUGGGUUUUGUUUUUUGUUUAAAAAAGGGUAGAUUCUCCCAAGAAACACAACGCAUACCUAAGGCAAUACUUGUUGUUACUCCUUCCCAGUUCCUUAUUUGUAGAAAUUUUGAGAGACAUCAGAAAAGUGAUUGAACUUUACAUAAUAUAUAAUGGAAUUUAUAUAAUUAUGUGUCUAAAAUUAAGCAUGGAACCAACCAUAUGUAUCUCCAUUAUGAUGGCCUUCUGUUAAAUAAUUCAGUAUAGUAAAAAUUGUGCAAGAACAUGUAAUGCAUGAUAAUAUCACAUAAUCAGCUUAAAUGUUGCAAUUCAGUGUGGAGUUCCUUACAGUAUAUCUUGCUUGUCUACCAAAUAUAUUUCAUCUGGCCCAAAGUUUUCAGUACUUCAAUAACACGAUCCUGAAACAUCAAGACAAUAUUGAAAACAAAAUGAAACAAGUACUGAGCUUUCAACUCAAGUCCAUCUUCAUUCAUCUUCACUUCUUUCAUUCUCAAAAUGCUCAAAAUUCUGCAGAAUACUGAGUCACCCAGUACCCACUUUUAGUUGACCAAUAGGGGAAUGCAAAAAGGUCAUUGUAGUAUUUCCCUUGUCACCUACCUCCCAGACUCCCUCUUAAUAUUUUCAAUUCAUUUUGCAACCAUUUACUUUUCCCACUGCUUUUCAUCAUAGCUGCACAUUGUGACUGGAGUGGAAAAGAAGAGAUAUACAAGUUAAAUACUUACAGAUGGUAUUAGGGCCAGAACCACCACAAGCUUCAGCAAUGCAAAAGGAGAAAAGAAUUUUGAUGCAAUCUCAGAUAAGCCAGUAAAGAGCUAUGAACAAAAAGAUUGUAUCUAUUAGAUAUUACCAAUAAUGUCAUGGAAGAGCAGAGGCUCAGAGCUGAUCCUGAGCCAGUUCAAAGAACCAGUUGGAAAUCAGUCUUCUUUGGGUGGGGAGGAUUACAGUUCCUGACCCAGUUCCUACGUUACACCUAUAUUAAAAUAUUUGGUU
rnacentral:lncRNA from 1 species